GUCAGGCAUGGUGGUGCAUGCCUGCAGUCCUAGCUACUCAGGAGGCUGAGGCAGGAGGAUCACUUGAGCCCAGGAGUUCUGGGCUGCAGUGAGCCAUGAUCGCACCACCACACUCCAGCCUGGGUGACAGAGGGAGAUCCUGGCUUUA
ensembl:misc_RNA Metazoa_SRP Metazoan signal recognition particle RNA